rnacentral:rRNA from 1 species
AGGACGAACGCUGGCGGCAGGCCUAACACAUGCAAGUCGAGCGCCCGUAGCAAUACGGGAGCGGCAGACGGGAUAGUAACACGUGGGAACGCGCCCUUCGGUUCGGAAUAACUCAGGGAAACUUGAGCUAAUACCGAAUACGCCCUUACGGGGAAAGAUUUAUUGCCGAAGGAACGGCCCGCGUCCGAUUAGCUAGUUGGUGAGGUAAUGGCUCACCAAGGCUACGAUCGGUAGCUGGUCUGAGAGGAUGACCAGCAUCACUGGGACUGAGACACGGCCCAGACUCCUACGGGAGGCAGCAGUGGGGAAUAUUGGACAAUGGGCGCAAGCCUGAUCCAGCCAUGCCGCGUGGAUGAUGAAGGCCCUAGGGUUGUAAAGCUCUUUUGUGCGGGAAGAUAAUGACGGUACCGCAAGAAUAAGCCCCGGCUAACUUCGUGCCAGCAGCCGC